UGGCGGCGUGCUUACACAUGCAAGUCGAGCGAGAAAGCCUCUUCGGAGGUGAGUAAAGCGGCGGACGAGUUAGUAACACGUGAGAAUCUACCCUUCAGUGAAGAAUACCCUCGAGAAAUCGAGGCUAAUGCUGCAUACGUCCUCCUAAAGAGAUUUGGGAGGAGAAAAGUGGCCUCUUGCUGCUGCUGAAGGAUGAGCUUGCGGACUAUUAGCUAGUUGGUGGGGUAAAGGCCUACCAAGGCUGAGAUGGUUAGCCGGCCUGAGAGGGUGCUCGGCAACGCUGGAACUUAGACACGGUCCAGACUCCUACGGGGGGCAGCAGUGAGGAAUAUUGCGCAAUGGGCGAAAGCCUGACGCAGCGACGCCGCGUGGAGGAUGAAGGUUUUCGGAUCGUAAACUCCUGUUAAGUGGGAAGAAAGACUCUUUCUUAAUACGAAAGAGGGAUGACGGUACCAUUAGAGAAAGCACCGGCUAACUUCGUGCCAGCAGCCGCGGUAAUACGAGGGGUGCAAGCGUUAUUCGGAAUCAUUGGGCGUAAAGGGUGUGUAGGCGGCAAUCUAAGUCAACUGUUAAAUGCUCCGGCCUAACUGGAGACCAGCAGUAGAUACUGGGUUGCUAGAGGAUGGAAGAGAGAAGUGGAAUUCUCGGAGUAGCGGUAAAAUGCGUGGAUCUCGAGAGGAACACCGAUGGCGAAGGCAGCUUCUUGGUCCAUUUCUGACGCUGAGACACGAAAGCGUGGGGAGCAAACAGGAUUAGAUACCCUGGUAGUCCACGCUGUAAACGAUGAUCACUAGACGUCAGUCCUGUUUUUACAGAAUUGGUGUCGUAGCUAACGCGCUAAGUGAUCCGCCUGGGGACUACGGUCCCAAGAUUAAACUCAAAGGAAUUGACGGGGGUCCGCACAAGCGGUGGAACAUGUGGUUUAAUCCGACAAUACGCGAGGAACCUUACCUAAACUUGACAUGCUUCCGACAGCCAUAAAAAUACGGUUUCCGAGCUUCGGUCCGGACGGUUGCGCAGGUGCUGCAUGGCUGUCGUCACUCGUGUCUGAAAUGUUGGUUAAGUCCC
rnacentral:rRNA from 1 species